GUUGCCCUCGUGCGAAGCGGCUGGGGCUUAUGGCUUAUGUCCUUGCAUUUACACAGGUACAGCAUCUUUGUCCCACACCAAACUGAUGCCUGGUUUGAAUCCUAAAAAACCUGCCGCUUGAUGUCAACUUGUUUGUUCUGCCACAUCUGGACACGCGCGGCCUCUGAGCAUUCAUGCUCUGAUGAUCAGUCAAGCUUGCUGAGUCUGUUACCGGUCUCAUAUCAAGGCCAUCCCAGUGUGGACCUCCUCGUCAAGUCUUUCCGGAACCAGAUCUACGGUGCUGCCAGUAGUUCCUCACUCACACCUCUCCGCUAACUGAAAAGAACUGGUUUCACUACGCAGGGAGGACAUGGGAGACCAUCAAGAAAUCCAGCCUCAUGUCCGAGUUGCAACAGACUUCUAACCUGAUGGGUUUUUUUUUCUGGAUGAAUAACGGACCCUCUGUUUCAGAGGAAAACAAGCUGUUGGCCAAGAAUAUAGGCUGUAUUUUUCUUGUUGAUGAAAAUGGAGUUCAUUCAUUUAUAGAGACUAUAUACAACUGAGCCCUUUUUCUAGGGUUUUGUGAUGAAAACCAACAUGGCGAGGCAAACCCUGCUUGUUCUGAUGUAGUGCAUUAAUUAGAGGGAACAAAAGUCAGCAUGCCUAGGGCAUUGAUAAACACCUGCACAGGUGUAGAAUUUGCCAAACAUCUGUACAGGUGUAGAAUUUGCCAAACAUCUGUACAGGUGUAGAAUUUGCCAAACACCUGUACAGGUGUA